CCAGGUCAGGCGGGAUUACCCGCUGAUUUA
rnacentral:rRNA from 2 species